rnacentral:rRNA from 1 species
UGAACGCUGGCGGCGUGCUUAACACAUGCAAGUCGCACGAGAAAUCCUUAGCUUGCUAAGGAAAGUAAAGUGGCGCACGGGUGAGUAACGCGUGGGUAAUCUACCCUCGAAUCUGGAAUAACUUCGCGAAAGCGGGGCUAAUACCGGAUAAUAUUAAUUGAUCUUCGGAAAUUUUGAUCAAAGGUGGCCUCUACAUGUAAGCUUCCGUUUGAGGAUGAGCUCGCGUACCAUUAGCUUGUUGGUAGGGUAAUGGCCUACCAAGGCAACGAUGGUUAGCUGGUCUGAGAGGAUGAUCAGCCACACUGGAACUGACACACGGUCCAGACUCCUACGGGAGGCAGCAGUGAGGAAUUUUGCGCAAUGGGGGAAACCCUGACGCAGCAACGCCGCGUGAGUGAUGAAGGCUUUCGGGUCGUAAAGCUCUGUCAAGUGGGAAGAAAAUGCAAAUUGAUAAUACCCUUUUGUACUGACGGUACCACUGAAGGAAGCACCGGCUAACUCC